AUUGAACGCUGGCGGCAGGCCUAACACAUGCAAGUCGAGCGAGCGGCGGACGGGUGAGUAAUGUAUGGGGACUGCCCGAUAGCGGGGGAUAACUACUGGAAACGGUAGCUAAUACCGCAUACUAUCGGAUAACCCAUAUGGGAUUAGCUAGUAGGUGAGGUAAUGGCUCACCUAGGCGACGAUCCCUAGCUGGUCUGAGAGGAUGAUCAGCCACACUGGGACUGAGACACGGCCCAGACUCCUACGGAGGCAGCAGUGGGGAAUAUUGCACAAUGGGCGAAAGCCUGAUGCAGCAAUGCCGCGUGUAUGAAGAAGGCCCUAGGGUUGUAAAGUACUGUUAUUCGGGAGGCGGUACCGACAGAAGAAGCACCGGCUAACUACGUGCCAGCAGCCGCGGUAAUAC
rnacentral:rRNA from 1 species